GAUGAACGCUGGCGGCGUGCCUAAUACAUGCAAGUCGAGCGAACAGACGGGGAGCUUGCUCCUCUGAUUUUAUCGGCGGACGGGUGAUUACCUCGUGGUUAACCUACCUAUCAGACUGGGAUAAUUUCGGGAAACCGUAGCUAAUACCGGAUAACUUGUUGAACUUCAUGGUUCAACCGUUAAAGCCGCUCUUGCUUUCACUUAUAGAUUGAUCCGCGCCGCAUUAGCUAGUUGUUAAGGUAACGGCUUACCAAGGCAACGAUGCGUAGCCGACCUGAGAGGGUGAUCGGACACACUGGAACUGAGACACGGUCCAGACUCCUACGGGAGGCAGCAGUAGGGAAUCUUACGCAAUGGGCGAAAGCCUGACGGAGCAACGCCGCGUGAGUGAUGAAGGUCUUCGGAUCGUAAAACUCUGUUAUUAGGGAAGAACAAAUGUGUAAGUAACUAUGCACGUAUUGACGGUACCUAAUCAGAAAGCCACGGCUAACUACGUG
rnacentral:rRNA from 1 species